AAAGCUUUUUACACCUAAACCCAAGCGAGCUCUUUCUCUCUCUCUCUCUCUCUCUCUCUCCCGGCCAUCUUCUUCUCUCUUGCUCUCUCUCACACUAGUUCACGCCCUCUUCUCUCUCGAGCUGGGUCACUCUUUUGGUCCUCUUCUUCUCUGUCGUUCUCUCUCGCUGGUGCUCGAUUGGGCGGUUAUGCUGCGGGCGCGAGAACCUUUGUAUUGAUGAUUUCUCCAUGGAUUUGUUCAAAUUCUUCGUCGUGUAUUGUUUUUGGAGCUUGUUAGGGUUGGAUAACUUCUCCUCUAUUUUGCAGAUAAGGAAUAUGUGCCAACUGUCUUUGGCAAUUUCAGUGCAAAUGUGGUAGUUGAUGGUAGCACUGUUAACCUAGGUUUGUGGGAUAAAACAGGCCAGAAGGAUUACAAUAGAUUAAGACCUUUGAGCUAUUGUGGAGCUGAUGUAUUUCUUCUGGCCUUCUCUCUUAUCAGUAAGGCCAAUUAUGAAAAUGUUUCUAAGAAGGAGGAUGUGGAACUCAUGUCCAAGUUAGGCUUUGAUGCUUACCGAUUUUUAAUUUCAUGGAGUCGUAUCUUUCCGGAUGGAUUGGGAACAAAAAUCAAUGAGGAUGGGAUUGCCUGCUACAACAAUCUCAUUAAUUUCAUGCUAGAGAAAGGUAUUCAGCCUUAUGUGACGCUAUGUCAUUGGGAUCUUCCACAAAAUCUUUAUGAGUCCAUUGGAGGAUGGCUAUCAGAAAAAAAUUGCUUAGAAUGUUGCGAGAGGAAUUACAGCUAUACUACAAGAGCCUGGGUCAUUUGUUGGUGAAGUAGUUAAAGUCAUGGGAAAAUCAAACGUUUUGCAGAGAAACAACAGCAACUGAUGGAUUCAUUGGAAGCCUUGGAAGACGCCAAGUUGAAUGUUAAGUUGAUGCAAAGUAGAAUCAUGAAAUUGUUUGAAAAACAUAAGCAAAACGAGAGGGUGGUGGGUUUGCACAACAAACUCAAAGAUGUUGGUUAUGACAUACAAGACCUUGGAAUUGGACAUGAAGUACAUGCAGCUGGAGAGGAAGGUGGCAGAGAUCAACAAGGCUGAAAAAGAAGAAAAAACUGACACUACUACCCAAUCCAUGAGUAGAGGACUAAAGCCAGUCAAGUGAAAAAAUGUUGCCUUUUGACGUCUUCGCAAUUGUUGUGUCCAUCAACAGGUUUAUGUUUUUACUGUUUUCCCAUUCAUUUUGGGUUGAUUUUUAUGAAUAAUCUUCCUUAGUUAAUCUGUUUUUGCAUGAUGGAUAUAAUCUAAAAUUAUAAAUAGAAAAAGGAGAGGAGCUGUAUUUAGUUUAUAUGAAUAACAACAUGCUAUUGAUAUCAAGGGCAAUGAGUUUAUAAAUCAAGCCUUGGUUAGGUCUUUAUCUAUGUAUUUGGAAUUUUGGAGCUUGGGAUCUGUAUUUAGUCUUGCUUCAAUUGCAGAAGAUUAUCUAGUUUGUGA